AUUGAACGCUGGCGGCAGGCCUAACACAUGCAAGUCGAACGAGUGGCGGACGGGUGAGUAAUGUCUGGGAAACUGCCUGAUGGAGGGGGAUAACUACUGGAAACGGUAGCUAAUACCGCAUACCAUCGGAUGUGCCCAGAUGGGAUUAGCUAGUAGGUGGGGUAAAGGCUCACCUAGGCGACGAUCCCUAGCUGGUCUGAGAGGAUGACAAGCCACACUGGAACUGAGACACGGUCCAGAGUCCUACGGGAGGGAGCAGUGGGGAAUAUGUGGCAAUGGUGGGAAGCCUGAUGCAGGCAUGCCGCGUGUAUGAAGAAGGCCUUCGGGUUGUAAAGUACUUUCAGCGGGGAGGCGUUACCCGCAGAAGAAGCACCGGCUAACUCCGUGCCAGCCGCCGCGGUAAUAC
rnacentral:rRNA from 1 species